rnacentral:lncRNA from 1 species
GUUUCCAAAGGACCUGAUAGGCCUCUCAUAGUGGCUUCUGAAAACUUGCCACCACUUUGAGCUACCUCCAGGACAGCAGUAGAAAAAGAAGUUGGUCUAUAGGAUGUCCGGUGAAAUUGGAGAAGAAACCCCGGUGGAAGAGCCUGCUUCCUCUGACACGGAGCUUGUUGAACAUGAGAUGGAAGACAUCAACUUGCACACAGUGGAAUCUAUUAGUGAUCUGCACUAUGCCUCCAUCAGAAGUGAGGACACCAAGGCUUCCGAAGGAAACAACCAGUCACAGGCCACUACUCCAGGGCCUCCACAUAAGGCUUCUUUCAAGCAUUUCUCUUUCCCAAAUGAAGAUAACUCAGCCUUUUCCCCAGCCCAGAAUUUCCACCUUCUCUCUGCUUUCACCUGCUGCCCUUGCUUCAGGCCUGCUUGUUGUCCUACUGCCUUCUUUGCUCUCCUUGGACUGCUUGUUAUGACCAGUCUUGGCUUAGCAACACUGGCCGUAUACCUGAGCGGUAAGUCUGGAGCUCAAGAUAGUGUCUAA